AUUGAACGCUGGCGGCAGGCCUAACACAUGCAAGUCGAGCGAGCGGCGGACGUGUGAGUAAUGUAUGGGGCUCUGCCCGGUAGAGGGGGUUAACUACUGGAAACGGUGGCUAAUACCGCAUAAUAUCGGAUGAGCCGGUCGGGGAUUAGCUAGUAGGUGGGGUAAAGGCUCACCUAGGCGACGAUCUCUAGCUGGUCUGAGAGGAUGAUCAGCCACACUGGGACUGAGACACGGCCCAGACUCCUACGGGAGGCAGCAGUGGGGAAUAUUGCACAAUGGGCGCAAGCCUGAUGCAGCCAUGCCGCGUGUAUGAAGAAGGCCUUAGGGUUGUAAAGUACUUUCAGCGGGGAGGCGUUACCCGCAGAAGAAGCACCGGCUAACUCCGUGCCAGCAGCCGCGGUAAUAC
rnacentral:rRNA from 1 species